AAUCCUGGAACUCUGCACAGCUGACAGACAGCUUGACAGUCUGAGAACUCUCCACAUAUGUUUCUGGGUCCUGUGAACUUGGGCAGACACUAGAAAUGACUAACUAUAGGCAUGAGGCUCAUCUGUGAGUAUGGCUGUGAAGGAUUUGGCAGGGGAUUAUCCAAGCAGGGAUAUAUACUAUGAAUGUGAACUGUGUCUUCUUGUGUGCUGGAAUAAAAAGAAGUAAAGGGAGAAGACAGCUGAGGACUGGCAUUCUUCUCUCUUCCUCAUCAUGUAUUUUGUAAGAGUGUGAAGCAACGUGAAUAAUUCGAUCAGCAGUUUAGCUGGAGAGGAUUCUGUGCACCACACCUCUUCUAAGCUGUCAACUCAUUGUAUAGCACCCACCUAACUUCAGGGCUCCGGGGGCUUUUGCCGUUAUCCUCAUGGAACUGGGGAAUCGCUCAGAAGGAUCCUUUCCUGACUCGCUGUCCAGCAGGCACGAUGGAUGGCUCGGCUCAGUGCUGGAUGCAGUUCCUAUGCAAAAGUUGGACACUUCAAGCAUCCAUGGAGAUUACAAAGCACGGAAAUGCUGUAAACCACUGAAAGACUGGAGAAGAGGAAAGACAACCCAGGAGAAUUCAUCAUAAGAUAUUCAGUCCGAUAUUUCCUGAGGUGACCCAACCAUCCAUUUCUCAUAGAGAUUCAGGACUACAAGCCAUUAUCCAAAGAUGCCUGGGCACUCAUGACAACAGAGAUAGUUAAUCUAGAUUGUGAAUUUACAUGGAUCUGAAAUCUUUCUUGAUGAGACUAUUUUAUGGAAAGAUCUAAAUAUAGGUGGUACCUUUUGUAGCAGCCCAGAUAAAAGGAUGUGGAAGGAAGAGCUUUCAUCACUCUUGUUGGGAGGUCCAUAUCUCCUGUUGCUGUUAUGGCUACAUUCUUCCACUGAUCUCAGAAGCUGCUUCUAUGAGCUUGCAAUGUAGACUGAAGACCAGCAGAUUUUCAGGAAUCUUCCAGGCCUUCAUCACCAGACUGAGAUUGCCAAGACAUCCAGCCUCCUAGUUCAGCAUCUACCAGAUUCUGAUCAUCUCCAGUGAAAGACAACCAUUGUUGGACCACCCACAUUCUUAAACCAAUGUACGCAGAGUCACAUCCAGCUUUUCUGGGAACCCAAACUCAAGACCUCAUGAUGAGCAUCAAAGAAGGCCCAUUCAGCCCAAGCUAUAUAGUAGAAUCCUUUUAAAAGACCAACCAAUAAUAAUAAAUAAUGCUUGCCUUCCACUCU
rnacentral:lncRNA from 1 species